UACGGAGGAUCCGAGCGUUAUCCGGAUUUAUUGGGUUUAAAGGGUGCGCAGGCGGGGGAUUAAGUCGGUGGUGAAAUUUUGCGGCUCAACCGUAAGAGUGCCAUUGAUACUGGUUCCCUUGAGUGUAGAUGAAGUAGGCGGAAUUUGUGGUGUAGCGGUGAAAUGUAUAGAUAUCACGAGGAACUCCGAUUGCGCAGGCAGCUUACUAGGCUACUACUGACGCUCAUGCACGAAGGCGUGGGGAUCAAACAGGAUUAGAUACCCUGGUAGUCCACGCAGUAAACGAUGAUUACUAGUUGUUUGCGAUACACAGUAAGCGACUGAGCGAAAGCAUUAAGUAAUCCACCUGGGGAGUACGUUCGCAAGAAUGAA
rnacentral:rRNA from 1 species